rnacentral:lncRNA from 1 species
CAAAAUUUGUCUCAAAAAUGAGAAAAAAAUAAAAGUAUUACUUGAAAAUACACAUACACUUCUUUGCUAGAAUCUCAUCAAAGUUAUCUGGAGCGCGUUUUGUCUACUCAAAGAUCGAGCAGUGACGCUCGAAUCAAAUCACUUAGAAAACCAAAUCAAAUGGGGAUUAAAAACCAAAAAGUUCAAAAAAUUUUACCAAAAAAACCAACAACCGGGAAAUAACAAAUAUACCG